ACUAAGGGCCCAAAAAAGCCGUGGGGGAGCCAAAAACAGGAGUUUGGAAUUACCCUGGUGAGGCCCCCGCCGUGAAACAGAUGAAAUGCCCAGCGCGUUAAGUGGGGGGUUUUACUUCCCUAGGGGGGGGGGCGGCCAACCGCUUUUAAGCAUUUCCGCCCGGGGGAAUAACGGGUCGCAAAGCUUAAAAACUCAAAAGGAAUUUGAGGGGGGCCCGGCACAAAGCGGUGGAGCAUGUGGUUUAAUUUCGGGGCAACGCGCGGAACCUUUACCAGCCCUUGACAUCCCGGUAGCGGGACUCCAGAGACGGAGUUCUUCAGUUCGGCUGGACCGGAGACAGGUGCCGCAUGGCUGUCGUCAGCUCGUGUCGUGGAGAUGUUGGGUUAAGUCCCGCAACGAGCGCAACCCCCGUCCUUAGUUGCUCCCAUUUAGUUGAGCACUCUAAGGAGACUGCCGGUGAUAAGCCGCGAGGAAGGUGGGGAUGACGUCAAGUCCUCAUGGGCCUUACGGGCUGGGCUACACACGUGCUACAAUGGCGGUGACAAUGGGAUGCUAAGGGGCGACCCUUCGCAAAUCUCAAAAAGCCGUCUCAGUUCGGAUUGGGCUCUGCAACUCGAGCCCAUGAAGUUGGAAUCGCUAGUAAUCGUGGAUCAGCACGCCACGGUGAAUACGUUCCCGGGCCUUGAACACUUUUUUUCGUCACGGCGUGUUUUAAAAAAAACCGAAG
rnacentral:rRNA from 1 species